AUUGAACGCUGGCGGCAGGCCUAACACAUGCAAGUCGAACGGAAACAGGAAGAAGCUUGCUGCCUUGCUGACGCGUGGCGCGCGGGUGUGUCACGUCUGUGACAUUGCUCUAUGGCGGGGGUUAACUCCUGAAAACGGUUCCUAUUCCCGCAUAUCUUCGCAAGACCAAGGUUGGGGACUUUAGGGCCUUUUUCCAUCGACUUAUACCAGAUGGCAUUAGCUAGUAGGUAGGGUAACGGCUCACCAAGUCCACGAUCCGUAGCUGGUCUGAGAGGAUGACCAGCCACACUGGAACUGAGACACGGUCCAGACUCCUACGGGAGGCAGCAGUGGGGAAUAUUGCACAAUGGGCGCAAGCCUGAUGGAGCCAUGCCGCGUGUAUGAUGAAGGUCUUCGGGUUGUAAAGUACUGUCAGCGGGGAGGAAGGAAUGAGAGAGAAAACCUGUACUCAUUGACGUUACCCGAAGAAAAAGCACCGGCUAACUCCGUG
rnacentral:rRNA from 1 species